AGUGAAAGAGAACCUGAAACCCUAUGUUUACAAGCAGAUAAAGCGAAUUAAGGCGCGAUAUCGUACUUUUUGUAGAACGGUCCAGCGAGUUAUUGUAUAUGGCGAGGUUAAGUUGUAAGUAAGCAACGAAGCCGGAGUGAAAGCGAGUCUGAAGAGGGCGUAAAAGUCAUAUGUAAUAGACCCGAAACCGGGUGACCUAUCCAUGGUCAGGAUGAAGCUAAAGUAAAAUUUAGUGGAGGUCCGAACUGAUUGUCGUUAAAAAGGCACCGGAUGAACUGUGGAUAGCGGAGAAAUUCCAAUCGAACUCGGAGAUAGCUGGUUCUCCUCGAAAUAGCUUUAGGGCUAGCCUUGAGGGAAGAUAUGUGGGGGUAGAGCACUGAAUGAGGUAGGGGCCUAACCAGGUUACUGAACUCUAUCAAACUGCGAAUACCAUGUAUUAAUACUCAGGAGUCAGACUACGGGAGCUAAGUUCCGUGGUCAAAAGGGAAAGAGCCCAGACCGACAAUUAAGGUCCCAAAGAUAUAGUUAAGUGGGAAACGAUGUGAAUUUGCGUAAACAACCAGGAUGUUGGCUCAGAAGCAGCCAUUCAUUCAAAGAGUGCGUAACAGCUCACUGGUCGAGUGAAUUUGCGCGGAAAAUUACCGGGGCUAAACUAUACACCGAAAUUACGGAUUUGUAAAUGAAAAUUUAUAAGUGGUAGAGGAGCAUUCUGUGGUAGGGCGAAGCUAAAGCGAGAGCAUUAGUGGACGAAGCAGAAGAGAGAAUGCUGGAAUAAGUAGCGAGAGCGAGGUGAGAAUCCUUGCCGUCGAAAGUCUAAGGUUUCCUGGGGAAGGUUCGUCCGCCCAGGGUAAGUCGGGACCUAAGGAGAGGCCGAAAGGCGUAUCUGAUGGAUAGCAGGUGGAAAUUCCUGCACUAUAGCCAUACUUAAAAGAUGCAAGGGACGCAGGAGAGGAAGAUAACCGAGGAAGAGGAAAAACUCGGAUCGAAAGAUGGAGUGAAAAUAGAAGUAACGAAGUAUCAAGAAUCACACUGACGAGAAAAGCUUGUAGAGAUUGUAUGGAAAUACCCGUACCGCAAACCGACACAGGUAGAUGAGGAGAGGAUCCUAAGACGAACGGGAGAAGCAUUGUUAAGGAACUCGGCAAAAUAACCCCGUAACUUCGGGAGAAGGGGAGCCUAUGUAAAAGUAGGCCGCAGUGAAAAGGCCCAAGCAACUGUUUAACAAAAACACAGGUUUCUGCUAAAUCGAAAGAUGAAGUAUAGGAGCUGACGCCUGCCCAGUGCUGGAAGGUUAAGGGGAAAUGUUAGGAGCAAUCCGAAGCAUAGAACUGAAGCCCCAGUGAACGGCGGCCGUAACUAUAACGGUCCUAAGGUAGCGAAAUUCCUUGUCAGGUAAGUUCUGACCCGCACGAAAGGCGUAAUGAUUUGGGCACUGUCUCGACAAUGUACCCGGCGAAAUUGUAGUACUAGUGAAGAUGCUAGUUACCUGCGACAAGACAGAAAGACCCCAUGGAGCUUUACUGCAGUUUGAUACUGGGUUUUGAUAAACUAUGUACAGGAUAGGUGGGAGACUAAGAAAGCAAGGCGUCAGCUUUGCUGGAGUCACCGUUGGGAUACCACUCUUAGUUUGUUGAAAUUCUAACUAGUGGUCAUGACCUGGCCAGAGGACAAUGUCAGACGGGCAGUUUGACUGGGGCGGUCGCCUCCAAAAGAGUAACGGAGGCGCCCAAAGGUUUCCUCAGCGCGGACAGAAAUCGCGCGAAAGAGUGUAAAGGCAGAAGGAAGCUUAACUGGAAGACAGACAUGUCGAGCAGAUACGAAAGUAGGGCUUAGUGAUCCGGUGGAAUUGAAUGGAAAAGCCAUCGCUCAACGGACAAAAGUUACCCUGGGGAUAACAGGCUUAUCUCCCCCAAGAGUUCACAUCGACGGGGAGGUUUGGCACCUCGAUGUCGGCUCAUCGCAUCCUGGAGCGGAAGUACGUUCCAAGGGUUGGGCUGUUCGCCCAUUAAAGCGGUACGCGAGCUGGGUUCAGAACGUCGUGAGACAGUUCGGUCCUUAUCUGUCGCAGGCGCAAGAUAUUUGAAGGGAGCUGUCCUUAGUACGAGAGGACCAGGAUGGACAUAUAGAGGGUGAAUCAGUUGUUACACCAGUAGCAUAGCUGAGAAGCCAAGUAUGGAAGGGAUAAACGCUGAAAGCAUCUAAGUGUGAAGCCCCCCUCAAGAUAAGAUAUCUCAUACCGUCAAGGUAGU
rnacentral:rRNA from 1 species